rnacentral:rRNA from 1 species
CAUGCAAGUCGACGAUGAUCCGGUGCUUGCACCGGGGAUUAGUGGCGAACGGGUGAGUAACACGUGAGUAACCUGCCCUCGACUCUGGGAUAAGCCUGGGAAACCGGGUCUAAUACCGGAUACGACCUUUCACCGCAUGGUGGUUGGUGGAAAGAUUUUUUGGUUUUGGAUGGACUCGCGGCCUAUCAGCUUGUUGGUGAGGUAAUGGCUCACCAAGGCGACGACGGGUAGCCGGCCUGAGAGGGUGACCGGCCACACUGGGACUGAGACACGGCCCAGACUCCUACGGGAGGCAGCAGUGGGGAAUAUUGCACAAUGGGCGAAAGCCUGAUGCAGCGACGCCGCGUGAGGGAUGACGGCCUUCGGGUUGUAAACCUCUUUCAGCAGGGAAGAAGCGAAAGUGACGGUACCUGCAGAAGAAGCGCCGGCUAACUACGUGCCAGCAGCCGCGGUAAUACGUAGGGCGCAAGCGUUGUCCGGAAUUAUUGGGCGUAAAGAGCUCGUAGGCGGUUUGUCGCGUCUGCUGUGAAAGCCCGGGGCUCAACCCCGGGUCUGCAGUGGGUACGGGCAGACUAGAGUGCAGUAGGGGAGACUGGAAUUCCUGGUGUAGCGGUGAAAUGCGCAGAUAUCAGGAGGAACACCGAUGGCGAAGGCAGGUCUCUGGGCUGUAACUGACGCUGA